GUUAUUUGUUGAACUUUUUAUUUAUUUUUUAACUGAAUUGUUUUAUUAUUGAAAACACAGGUUUAGUGUGUCGCUAAAGGAGGUUGUUGUAGGAAUGAAAACGUAGGUUUAAUACAUCACUA